rnacentral:vault_RNA from 1 species
GUGUUGGCUUAGUCAAGUGGUUAAUACUUCGUAUUUGUAAUGGCACAAAAAUUCAUUCCGUUGAAUCUUAACGGGUUCGAUUCCCAUAGAAACCACUGACGCUCUCCAGCAUUUUU